GAUGACUCUAAUUGUGACUCUUACCUUAUUUUUCCCACAGGACUGAUGAAAUUAAGAAGAUGACUUGAUAAAACUCACCAGGUAGCUUAGAUGUUCAGGACCAAUUGAGAGACACAAGAAGCAGAAAGGCAAAGAUGGAAAAAAUAUCUCUUUAGCCUGGCUGGUGUGGCUCAGCAAUUGAGCAUCGACCCAGGAACCAAGAGAUUGCCGGUUCGAUUCCUAGUCAGGGCACAUGCCCAGGUUGCAGGCUCAAUCCCCAGUGGAGGCCAUGCAGGAGACAGAAUUACCAACUGAUCCAGGAGUGGGGAAAGAAGCCAAGAGAGUUAUUCUAACAGAAGUACUCCCAAAUGGAAACACGGAGAGAACAGAAUGGAGGACUCCAAUGCCUUCCCACUGCUGCUUAAAAAGGAGAGUAUGACAGAGACAUGAUUAAUCAAGUUAUCAUGAAUGCUUUUCCAGCAUCCCUGCUUUGAAAUCCUGGUUUUCCCACUUCUUGGCUCAGUCUCCUCAAUUGGAAUAAGUUAAUUAUACCACUUUUCAGGGUCAUUGUAAUCAUUGCCAAUAAUGUAUGGAAAGUGCCUUGCAUAGUGCCUAGCAUUUAGCAAUUGUUUCUCAAUCUAGGGCAAAUUUAACUCACUGAAUGAAUAUUGUUCUGUUGAAACAUUGUUUCAAUAAAUAUGUAAGCUCUUUAAAAGAACAAAUGUUAUGACCAUAUACCCAAAGUGACCUACAGAUUCAAUGCAAUCCCUAUCAA